rnacentral:rRNA from 1 species
GACAGAGGUGCCAAGCGUUAGGCGGAAUCACUGGGCUUAAAGCGUGUGUAGGCGGAUGCCUAAGUACCUUGUGAAAUCCCACGGCUCAACCGUGGAACUGCUGGGUAUACUGGGUGUUUUGGGUCAUCUAGGGGCUGCCGGAACAAAUGGUGGAGCGGUGAAAUGCGUAGAUAUCAAGUGGAACACCAGUGGCGAAGGCGAGUCUCUGGACAUUUCCUGACGCUGAGGCACGAAAGCCAGGGGAGCAAACGGG